CGUCAUAGUGGUGAGAACCCAGUACACGAUGCGGAUGCCUAUUACUUUGUGAUACACUUUCGAAGAGUCGAGUUGUUUGGGAAUGCAGCUCUAAGUGGGUGGUAAAUUCCAUCUAAAGCUAAAUAUUGGCGAGAGACCGAUAGCGAACAAGUACCGUGAGGGAAAGAUGAAAAGCACUUUGGAAAGAGAGUUAACAGUACGUGAAAUUGUUGGA
rnacentral:rRNA from 1 species